GUGGGGAAUAUUGGACAAUGGGCGAAAGCCUGAUCCAGCCAUGCCGCGUGUGUGAAGAAGGUCUUCGGAUUGUAAAGCACUUUAAGUUGGGAGGAAGGGCAGUAAGUUAAUACCUUGCUGUUUUGACGUUACCGACAGAAUAAGCACCGGCUAACUUCGUGCCAGCAGCCGCGGUAAUACGAAGGGUGCAAGCGUUAAUCGGAAUUACUGGGCGUAAAGCGAGCGUAGGUGGUUUUGUAAGUUGGAGGUGAAAUCCCCGGGCUCAACCUGGGAACUGCCUCCAAAACUGCAUGACUAGAGUACGGUAGAGGGUAGUGGAAUUUCCUGUGUAGCGGUGAAAUGCGUAGAUAUAGGAAGGAACACCAGUGGCGAAGGCGACUACCUGGACUGAUACUGACACUGAGGUGCGAAAGCGUGGGGAGCAAACAGGAUUAGAAACCCGGGUAGUCC
rnacentral:rRNA from 1 species